rnacentral:rRNA from 1 species
GACGAACGCUGGCGGCGUGCCUAAUACAUGCAAGUUGAGCGCUGAAGGUUGGUACUUGUACCAACUGGAUGAGCAGCGAACGGGUGAGUAACGCGUGGGGAAUCUGCCUUUGAGCGGGGGACAACAUUUGGAAACGAAUGCUAAUACCGCAUAAAAACUUUAAACACAAGUUUUAAGUUUGAAAGAUGCAAUUGCAUCACUCAAAGAUGAUCCCGCGUUGUAUUAGCUAGUUGGUGAGGUAAAGGCUCACCCAGGCGAUGAUACAUAGCCGACCUGAGAGGGUGAUCGGCCACACUGGGACUGAGACACGGCCCAAACUCCUACGGGAGGCAGCAGUAGGGAAUCUUCGGCAAUGGACGAAAGUCUGACCGAGCAACGCCGCGUGAGUGAAGAAGGUUUUCGGAUCGUAAAACUCUGUUGGUAGAGAAGAACGUUGGUGAGAGUGGAAAGCUCAUCAAGUGACGGUAACUACCCAGAAAGGGACGGCUAACUACGUG